rnacentral:rRNA from 1 species
CGGCGACGGGUGAGUAACACUGGGUAACCUACCUAUAAGACUGGGACAACUUCGGGAAACCGGAGCUAAUACCGGAUAAGAUAUCGAACCGCAUGGUUCGAUAGUGAAGGANGGUUUUGCUAUCACUUAUAGAUGGACCCGCGCCGUAUUAGCUAGUUGGUGAGGUAACGGCUCACCAAGGCAACGAUACGUAGCCGACCUGAGAGGGUGAUCGGCCACACUGGAACUGAGACACGGUCCAGACUCCUACGGGAGGCAGCAGCG